GAUUGAUGGCUUCUCUAACACAAAGCAAAAGAAAGUGUUGAAAAAUGCAGAGACCCAGAGUGAGAAUUUGGUAACAAACGUGGACAAAG